UUGACUGGGGAAGUUGUAGUGUUCAAAGGUUUGACAGUGGUGGUGUUGACUGGAGCAAUAGUAGUGUUGACUGGGGAAGUUGUAGUGUUCAAAGGUUUGACAGUCGUGGUGUUGACUGGUGCAAUUGUAGUGUUGACUGGGGCAGUUGUAGUGUUUAAUGGCUUGACAGUGGUGGUGUUGACUGGUGCAAUUGUAGUGUUGACUGGGGCAGUUGUAGUGUUUAAUGGUUUGACAGUGGUGGUGUUUACUGGGACAGUUGUAGUGUUCAAAGGUUUGGCAGUGGUCGUGUUGACGGGGGUAGUUGUAGUGUUCAGAGGUUUGACAGUGGUGGUGUUGACAGGAGCAGUUGUAGUAUUAACAGGGGCAGCUGUAGCGUUU